rnacentral:lncRNA from 1 species
AGGAUGAUCUUUCUGUCAGCAGAAGAUGAUUGGCCUUGGCAGAGUUCUGCAGAGCUACUCACAAGACGGAAUUGCGACAUCUCCACUGGAUAAAUUGGAAACACGCAGAGCUCGUCUGCUACUGCAAAACUGUGAUCAAUUCCACCAUCUUACUCUCCUCCACGACUGGGCACUGGUCAACAAUGAAGAAGGUCCUUCUUCUUGGCUUCCUGGGGAUGCUGAGCUUCUGCACUUUAGUCAAGGGACUCAAGUGCAGGCAAUGCCUAACCUUGGAUGCGGAACUGUGUCGCCGCAGGGCAGCAACGGAAUGUAAACCAAAAUUGGGGAUGUGUUUCACACGAUCUAUAUAUGAUGCAGAGAGCAAAGUAUUUCAGGGAGUAACAUACGGAUGUGUGAAUGAUAGGACUAAGAAACUGUCCUGUAACCAGACACUCGCUGCAGCGUUGGACCUUUAUACCACAACCUGCUGUUCAACCGACUGGUGUAAUACAGGGGAGCGUGAAGAUUUUCUUCCUUCUCGUUGCGCUAGGAAGAACAAUNAAAAUCCCUCCUUUUGAAGGAAGAAAUUCCCUCCACUGUCUCCUGCUAGGUUUCCAUAGAAAAGAGAAGUGGAGCAUCUGUGG